GGAUGCGAUCAUACCAGCACUAAAGCACCGGAUCCCAUCAGAACUCCGAAGUUAAGCGUGCAUAUGUUUCGCACGUUUUACUAUUUUGCACGUU
rnacentral:rRNA from 1 species